UACAGAGGGGGGCAAGCGUUUAUUCGGAAUUAUUGGGCGUAAAGGGCGCGUAGGCGGCUUGGCAAGUGGAUGGUGAAAUCCCUCGGCUUAACCGAGGAACUGCCGUCCAAACUGCUUCGCUUGAGACCGGGAGAGGUGAGUGGAAUUCCCAGUGUAGCGGUGAAAUGCGUAGAUAUUGGGAGGAACACCAGUGGCGAAGGCGGCUCACUGGACCGGUACUGACGCUGAUGCGCGAAAGCGUGGGGAGCAAACGGG
rnacentral:rRNA from 1 species